UACGGGGGGGAGCAAGCGUUGUUCGGAUUUACUGGGCGUAAAGAGCGUGUAGGCGGCCAAGCAGGUCCGUUGUGAAAACUGGAGGCUUAACCUCCAGACGUCGACGGAAACCGCGCGGCUAGAGUCCGGAAGAGGAGAGUGGAAUUCCUGGUGUAGCGGUGAAAUGCGCAGAUAUCAGGAAGAACACCAAUGGCGAAGGCAGCUCUCUGGGACGGUACUGACGCUGAGACGCGAAAGCGUGGGGAGCGAACAGG
rnacentral:rRNA from 1 species